AUACUGUGUAGCGAUACCAUAAGUCAAAAAUAGUUAAAACUUUAAAAAUUAAAAAAAAAUCAAACUGACUUAAGUAACAAAUUGAGUUCUUUUCACAUGUGCCGCUUUGUCGGUACAACGACUUAUGUAACGCACAUAACUCAGAGCUGACGUAACUGCGCUGUCAAAACGACUCAAGUAACAAAUUCAUGUAAACAGAAAUCAAAAGUGUUUACGACAAACACUUUUCUCUUUUUUCUCCGAGCAGUCUCAAGCAUCAAAUUGCGGUCGAGAUACAUUCCUAACACCAUUCUGGUACUCAGCAUAUCGGUACUGAAGUCGGUUACCAGCAGUCAAGCCAGCAGUGGUAUUUCCUGCUCGAAAAGCGGCUCCAUCAACAGUAAUAAUUAAACUCAGGUCUGCUCACUGUAGAAAUGGAAGUUCCUUGGUGCUACUUCUAGAGGAAUUCCGCAAGCUGGAUUUAAAGAAUCCGGAAAGAAUUUCCUCGGAGCCAUCGUCGACUGCACCACGAUAAACUUUGUAUUAUCUCGCCUCGAUUUCAAAUUCCGCUUCUAUCGAUCCGGCAUUAAAUGGCAGCGACUCUUCCUCAUCGCCGUCUUCAACUAGAAGAGCAGCUCCAGUUGGAACGGCGAUUUUGAUGCAUUGCCUGCGCCAUCCGACAGAACCGUGCUGUCGAGACGGCCACCGAGCGGGCAUUGGUGAACAGAAAAUGUGAUGACGCAUUCCGAAAGUUCCGAAAGGGUGACGGUGUGAAGCAGUCAAAUUGCUGUUCGGCCACAGAUAGCACUUUGACCAGCCCAGGUUCAAAGAGAAGUUCAAUUUCAACGGUUAAGAAAGGCCUGCACAGUUUGACCCCAUUCGUGUUGUUUCUGGCACUAAGUACCUAACCUGGAAGUCGUUGCAUUGCCAUAGAUAUCCAUGAUUAGGCCGGCGAGGUAGAAAAACUGAUUCGCUCGCACAGUACCUACAUUUUGACAAAAGCUGCCCUCAGCACCUUCCAGAUCAUCGAAAGGGUUCCGGAUCCGGAGAUGAUGGAAAUCUUUCUGCUUGCGACCCGAUCACUACUGGAAAUAAGCCGGAGAAGAGCCUGGACAUGCUAAAACACUUCUAAAGCAUUGUUCCAAACUGGUACGGGGCUACAAAAAUGUAAUCCUAGCUGGUUACCACCCACCGUCCAAGAACAACGUGAGAUAGCUGUUCAUUUCUGCAGGUAGAACUCUUUCGAUUACUAGACUGCUCGGUCACAAUACACUUCGGAGGCGAUGAGAAAAUCUCGCACAGGUUACUCCACUGAAACGAAGGCGAAAAAAUCGUCGAGAACACAAGAUUAUGUUUUUAAAUAUUAAUAAAGAAUAGUGUGGGGGUUUUGAUGGGACGCUGGCCACUGAAAAAUAUCCGAAAUGCACCAAUGGGCCGUCCAUGUACCACGUGGACACGGGAAGAGAGAGUUUUAGAUAAACCGACGUGAGAUGGGGAGUUCAGUGGGGGGUGUUUGGGAUUUUGGAAUGUCCACGUGGGCAGAUUUUUCAACUGCACCAAAACAAUACAUAGGGACUUUACUGGUUUUAUUGUACCUAACAUACUCAUUUGAUUGUUGGCUAAUGUUUUUUUUGUUUUUUUAUUUGAAUAUAAGGUAUAUGUUCGCAUUUCGCAAAUAAUUCCGUUAUCUUUCUUUUCCAAGAGUUAGGGAACGUCCAU